rnacentral:rRNA from 1 species
UACGUAGGGCGCAAGCGUUGUCCGGAAUUAUUGGGCGUAAAGAGCUCGUAGGCGGCCUGUUGCGUCCGCUGUGAAAUCCCGGGGCUCAACCCCGGGCCUGCAGUGGAUACGGGCUGGCUAGAGGCAGGCAGGGGAGAACGGAAUUCCUGGUGUAGCGGUGAAAUGCGCAGAUAUCAGGAGGAACACCGGUGGCGAAGGUGGUUCUCUGGGCCUGUACUGACGCUGAGGAGCGAAAGCGCGGGGAGCGAACAGG